UGAACGGGGGGCCCGCACAAAGCGGUGGGAGCAUGUGGUUUAAUUCGAUGCAACGCGAAGAACCUUACCUACUCUUGACAUCCAGAGAACUUAGCAGAGAUGCUUUUGGUGCCUUCGGGAACUCUGAGACAGGUGCUGCAUGGCUGUCGUCAGCUCGUGUUGUGAAAUGUUGGGUUAAGUCCCGCAACGAGCGCAACCCUUAUCCUUUGUUGCCAGCGGUCCGGCCGGGAACUCAAAGGAGACUGCCAGUGAUAAACUGGAGGAAGGUGGGGAUGACGUCAAGUCAUCAUGGCCCCUACGAGUAGGGCUACACACGUGCUACAAUGGCGCAUACAAAGAGAAGCGAACUCGCGAGAGCAAGCGGACCUCAUAAAGUGCGUCGUAGUCCGGAUUGGAGUCUGCAACUCGACUCCAUGAAGUCGGAAUCGCUAGUAAUCGUAGAUCAGAAUGCUACGGUGAAUACGUUCCCGGGCCUUGUACACACCGCCCGUCACACCAUGGGAGUGGGUUGCAAAAGAAGUAGGUAGCUUAACCUUCGGGAGGGCGCUUACCACUUUGUGAUUCAUGACUGGGGUGAAGUCGUAACAAGGUA
rnacentral:rRNA from 1 species